GACGAACGCUGGCGGCGUGCUUAACACAUGCAAGUCGAGCGAGAUUCAACCGGUGGCAACACCGGGGAAGAUCGAGCGGCGAACGGGUGAGUAACACGUGAGCAACCUGCCCCGAAGACUGGGAUAACACCGGGAAACCGGUGCUAAUACCGGAUACCCCCACCAGGCCGCAUGACCAGGUGAGGAAAUGAAUUUCGCUUCGGGAGGGGCUCGCGGGCUAUCAGCUUGUUGGUGGGGUAACGGCCCACCAAGGCGACGACGGCUAGCUGGUCUGAGA
rnacentral:rRNA from 1 species